rnacentral:misc_RNA from 1 species
UGUGACUCAGACAAAGCCAAUGAUGUCUACACUCAACAGUUGUAGGUUCAACGAGGCAGAAUGUAUUAAUAGUAUUACAUGACAACAUAUGAUGCAUGCCAAUUGUAUUCUGUUACAGAUGAAUCUAAAACCCAGAGACAAAGUUAAACAUAAUUGGUCAUAUGACUCAUACGUGCAAGGAAAUCGAAUAGAGCAUAUAACAUGUUACUGAUGAAUAUAUAAAGCUUAACUUCAAAGAAUAAGGAUGCGUAUUAUUUGAAACA